rnacentral:rRNA from 1 species
GAUGAACGCUGGCGGCGUGCCUAAUACAUGCAAGUCGAGCGAACAGACGAGGAGCUUGCUCCUCUGACGUUAGCGGCGGACGGGUGAGUAACACGUGGAUAACCUACCUAUAAGACUGGGAUAACUUCGGGAAACCGGAGCUAAUACCGGAUAACAUGUUGAACCGCAUGGUUCAACAGUGAAAGACGGUUUUGCUGUCACUUAUAGAUGGAUCCGCGCCGCAUUAGCUAGUUGGUAAGGUAACGGCUUACCAAGGCAACGAUGCGUAGCCGACCUGAGAGCGUGAUCGGCCACACUGGAACUGAGACGCGGUCCAGACUCCUACGGGAGGCAGCAGUAGGGAAUCUUCCGCAAUGGGCGAAAGCCUGACGGAGCAACGCCGCGUGAGUGAAGAAGGUCUUCGGAUCGUAAAACUCUGUUAUUAGGGAAGAACAAAUGUGUAAGUAACGAUGCACGUCUUGACGGUACCUAAUCAGAAAGCCACGGCUAACUACGU